rnacentral:lncRNA from 1 species
UAUUUGAGGGCAUGCAUGCGAUGUGUGGAACUUGUUAUGGGUGCCACUCAUAUUCUUCUCGAAGGUGAUUCUUCCACUGUGAUUGGUUGGGUGUUGAGAUAGACUAUACGUGCUGAUAGUCAAAUCUUGCUGUUGGAUAUUUGAAAGUUUAUUACUUAGUGUGCUGGAUUUUGUGCCGGUAAUGCCUGCAGAAAGCAAAUGUGCUGCAAAUUGAGUAGCUCCCUUCGUUGCGAAUCAUAAUGGCUAAAUGAUUUGGAUGGAUAUUUUUUGCAUUCCAAUUCAGU